rnacentral:rRNA from 1 species
GCUUUUAGCUAAACAAUUCACGGUCGCCGGAAUGCGCCCGAUCUGGUCUGAUCUCAGAAGCUGAGCAGGGUCAGGCCUGGUUAGUACUUGGAUGGGAGACCGCCUGGGAAUACCAGGUGCUGUAAGCU